GGGCGGGGCGGCGCCGGCGAGGACAAAAAGCAGGGAGGGGAGCGCGUCAGACAAUGCAGCCCACUGCCCGCUUUGUCUCCGCGCACACGCGUUCCGCUUCGAUCUCCCUCCCCGCGCCCGCACGCCCGCCAGUUCCGGGUGCCGGAGUGACCGAGGCCAGAGGCCCACGCAAGAGGAGGCGGAGACCCGCGUGCAGGCCCGGGGCGAACUGAGCCCGCCACCCCCGCCCGGCCGACUCAAGAUGGAAGCGGCCGUUGGCCCCGCACCUUCCCGCCGCUAGCCGUUCCCUGAGGCGAACGGCGUCGCUAGCAGCUCGCUCCGAGGGCAGCAUCCCCGCCCGGCCCUCAGGCCCCAGCUACGGUCAGGGGACGCCAGAGGAAACCCCCCAGAGAUGGAGAAGCCGAGGCUCAGCACACCCCUGACACUUGCUCACCACCACGCCAUCCGUCUGGGACAGCCCAGGAGGGAGCCAGGGUUUCUGCCUCCUAGACCAAGACUUCUUCUUCCUGCGUGUUGGUCAAAGGAAGCCCUGCUGUCUUCACCCUCCCCAGUGCCCUGGAGGAGCCCAGGGCAGCGGCUGCCUCCCGAUACCAGAAGCCAUGGCUCCCGCUCCGGGCUGCUCUGCUCAGCGGGUACAGGUGGGCAGUGCCAUCGGCCAGGAAUGCGAGAAAACAGAACACCGCCUCUGUCCUUCACAGCUGACAAUACCGGCCAGAGAUAAGAAUAAAAUUUACAUCUCUUACUUCCUCAUAGUCCUGCAAUGCAGUGGGAAAAGGCAAACAGAAAGAAGGAAAAAGAAGGAGAGAAAGGAAGGGAGGGAGGGAGAGAGGUCUGGAGAAUUACUCAGGGAAAUUUCUUUGGAAAGGAAUUAGGAGGUGCAUUCUAGACUCUGUUUUUUGUUUGUUUGUUUAGUUUUAUUUUUGUGGUACUAGGGAUGGAACUCAGGACCAUGCACUUGCAAAGCAGGCAUGAUGCCACUGAGCUAAAUCCCCGGCCAAAUUAUUUUAAGGUAGUUUGAGUAUUAACUUUCUGUUUGUCUUCUUUUUUUUUAUUUUUCUUUUUGUCUUCUAAGUCAAUGGUCCCAACCUUUUUGGCACCAGGGACCAGUUUCAUGGGAGACGGUUUCUCGAGUGGGGACAGGGACGGUUUCAGGAUAAUUUAGAGCAGUGUACAACCUGGCUCCCUUGUGUGAGGAACUCACAGGGUCUGGCUCCUGUCCGAAUCUAAGACACAGAGAGAGAGAUAUUAAAUCACUUUCCCUUUGAAAGAGGCCUCAUGCUGGCCAGCCACCCACCCGACCCGUGUCCUGAGACCCUGCCAGCCUCUGUCCCCUCUGGCCACCAGCAAGGGAGGUAAGGUCUAAGAGCAAGCAGCAGAGCCGGCGCAGGGAGGUCACCAGUGCUGACUUGUGCCACAUCUUGAACAGCUCUGCCCGUGAACCUGGCUGAGUGGAACAGUGUCACAGGAGCCCACCGAGGAGCUGAGGUUAGAGCUGAGCUCCCUGAGGAGGAGGAGAAGGAGAGGAGGAGGAGGAGGAGGAGGGCUGUUGGCAGCCUCUGGGAGCCCCCAGCAGCAGUUCAUGGUGCAGAGGUGACAUUACAAAGGCCAGACCCAAGCCCACCAGGGCUGCUUCUGAAUCAAGCAAGGAGCAGAGUGGUUCCCAGGGGAGACCAGGCACCUGUCUCACUUUUCUUUGUGUCUCCCGGCCUAGCAGGUGGUAGGUGCUCAGGGGAACAGAAUCUGACAGAUGUGACUCUACAGAAAACGGAGGUGCUGGGAACCGUCUGGGUUCAAAAUGUUCCCAGAGCGAAUGAUGCGCUCCACUGCAGGUUGAAAGGUAGCUCCCUCCCCUCUUCUGGUCUAUCUCUAUGGUGACCAUUACCAGGACUGGUCAAGGUCACACGUGGUCAACCAAGUGGCAGUGCCCUGGGGACCGAGCAGUUGCAUCUUAGCUAUGGCAUUUCAGAUUCUGAACAGCUCUGUAUUACAUCAGUCUUUUUGUUGUUGCACAAAUGCGAUAAAAAAGCAUUGGAUGCAUUUCUUAGGAAGACAAGCCAUCCUGCUGCCUUAGAACUGAUUGGAUUUUUCUAUUUCCAUACACACAUGUAUUUUACACCCCACGGCGAUCGCAGUGAGCAUAUAAUUUUGUAUUGUGCUAAGAUGCCUUUUUUUUUUUUUUUUUUUAGCAAAUCGUUUGUUCUUUUGCAUAGAUUCUGUGCUUGGGGCCAGGCUUUUUGCUGAGGACAAUGGGGCACAUUGGCGUGACCUCUCCUGGGUGUCUGUGAAAUGGCUUUGUUUUCCAGAGUGCUACAGACUAAGAAACUCGCUGGAGAACAGAAGAGAAUAGACUGCGAAUACAGAUUUCUUGUGUGCUGGGUCUAAGUGGGGUAUUUGACUGGGGUGAGAGGAAACCUCCUUUAUAAAUCCAGGGGACACAGCGCUGCCGUUACAGCCUGCGAAGCAAGGCUUUCCAUUCUGAGACUGGCACAUGCAAGCAACCUUGGGCCUGAUUCGCAGGUGCUCAUUUCCCAGCUUCAGAAAGCAAGAGCAGCCUGUCUCUUAGGGAUGAGGAGGGGACUGGGUGGGAGAGUGGCCGCCAGUCUUUGCCUGUGACUGUUCAUGACUGUCGUAGAGCUGACCCUGGGAGAGCCUCUCUGACCCUAUGUUUGUACAUAUCCAGAACAGGGAAAAGAAAUGAGAUAAUGAAUGUGAACGUGUUACGUUAGUUAAAACCAUCUGUUCAAAGCCAGGCGUGGUGCCACACCCCUGCCAUCCCAGCACUCGGAAGGCUGAAGCAGGAGGAUCACUGUGAAUUCAAGGUCAGCCUGGGCUACAUAGCUAGACCCUGUCUCAAAAACACAAAAAGAAGGCAUCUGUCCAUCCAUUUGUCAUCCCUGUGUCUGUCUUUCUGGCUGUCUUUCUUCCACCCCCAGAAUGUGGCAUGGAAGCAGGCACAGAGGAUGCCGAGGUAGGUGGAGCAGGGGACCCUGGGGACAGGGCCUGGGACAGCCCGACAGGCGCUGAAUGAGUCCCUCCUUCCUUCGAAUCCCGCUCCCUUCCUCCUUCCCUCUCUCCUGUACAUUCUUUGCCCUCCACGGUGCUCGGUGUCCCUGCAUGGUGCCACGUCUCCUGCAGCACUGGGGACCACACUGCUCACCCUGAUGACCUCGCUCUUCUGCAGAGGAGACAACCUGGAUGGCACAUGGGGCUACCAGGCUCCUGUGGACUUGGAGAUUCAUCCGGGAUGACGGCACUGAGAGAUUUCGGCUCAUAUCAGAAAGGUUCUUUUUCACGGUCUGGGCCAUCACAGGACAGAAGAAACUUUCCCAGAAGGGAUUGCGUUCCUUGUCCCCAAGGACUCUGAGACAGCUGGGCCAGCUGGUGACCGAGAAGCUGAGGGGAUUUCAAGCUCUUUUUGAAGUGAGGAAGGGUGAUUCAGUGACUUUCAGAUUUUCUUUUCUUUCUUGUGUGCGUGUGUGUGUGUGUGUGUGUGUGUGUGUGUGUGUGUGUGAGAGAGAGAGAGAGAGAGAGAGAGAGAGGGAGGGAGAGAACAUGUGUGUCCAAGAGCUCUUUUCCACUGGGAGGUCACUUCCUACUUGCUAUAAUUUCUCUUUUCUUUUUUUCUUGUUCUCUUUCUUUCCUGUUGUAUGGCUAUGCCACAGUUUUUCCAUUCACCUGUUGGAAGGCAUUUUGAUUGCUUCCAAGUUUUGGCAAUAAGUAAACUACUAUAAACAUUUUCUUUUGAGGUAUUGGGAAUUGAACCUAGGGUCUUUGCACUGAGCUACAUCCCUAGCCAGUUUUGUUUUAAAUUUUGAGACUGAGUCACACUAAGUCUUUAAAUUGCUCAAACUUGUCAUCCUCCUGCCUCAGCCUCCCAGAGUGCUCAGAUUAUAAGCGUGCACCCCCAUGCCUGGCUUGCUAUAAACAGUCUUAAUAGGUUUGGGGUUUUCAGCGUAUUUGAAUGUCAACAAGCACAGCUGCCAGAUCAUGUGGUGCGAGUAUGUUUAGUCUUGUGAGACACUGGCUUCUGUCUUCCAAUUCACCUGCAUGGUUUUGCCUUUUCUCCAUCAGUGACAGAGAGUCCCUGCCACUCACAUCCUCACCAGUGUUUGGUCCCGUUGUUCUGGGUUUGGGCUGUUCUAAGAGGUGUGUGGUGGGAUCUCACUGUUGUUUGAAUGUGUGAUUUCCGACGACAUUGGAUGGUGAGCCUCUCCACAUGCAUAAUCACCAUCUGCACACCUUGGGGUCAGGCGUCUGUUCAGAUCUUUUUCCUGCUCUUUAAUCUGGUCAUUUAUUCUUUAUUUUUUUAUUUAUUUCUUUUUUGAGACAGCAUCUUGCUAUGUGGUCCAGCCUGGCCUCAAACUCACAGUGAUCCUCCUGCCUCAGCCUCUCAAGUGCUUGUUUGAUUACAGGCCCGUGCUACCAUACCCGGCAAGUUCUCUUACUGGGUUCUAAGAGUUCUUGGAACUUUUUGGAUAACAGUUCUUUAUCAGAAAUACCCUUUGCCCUAUUUUCUCCUAUCCCAUGGCUUGCCUUCCAAUUCUCUUGAGAGUGUUUUCAGAGAGCUACUUUGAGGGUUUGAUUUUGAAUCUCGGUAAGAAUCUUUAAUUCUUGUCGUUUAAGGUUACUAAAAUAGAUUAUGUAAAUUACAAAGAAAGUCUGUGACUGAAGAUUGGGUUAUAGAUGACUGGGGCUUUGAUUGAUUUAAUGUCAUGCUUUAGUAUUUAACAUUUCUAUUUUGUCUUCUAGCUGUCCAUUCAUCUAUCUAGCUAUCUAGCUAUCUCCAAUACUGAGGAAUGAACCUAGAGCCUUUGCAUUGAGCUAGGGUAUAUCUGUAACCCCCUCUUUUUGGAGACAAAGUCUUGCUGUGUAGUUCAGGCUGGCCUUGAAUUUACUAUGUAGCCUGAGCUGGGAUUACAGGGAUGUGCCACUAAGCUCAGCACUCUCUCUUUAUAAUUUUGAGACUUUCCUAAGUCUCUGAGUUGCCUAGAUUGAGCUUGAAGUUUCAAUCCUCCAGCCUCAGCCUCCUGAGUAGCUGGGAUUACAGCUAGGUGCCACCAUACCCAGCUUCUUUUUAUAUUUUUAAAUCCGUGUUAUGUUUCUAGUCUCACACAUUCUUCUUUUUUUCUUUUGGUAUCGGGGAUUGAACUCAGGACCUUCUGCUUACCAGGCAGGCAUGGCGCUACUGAGCUACAUCCCCAAAUCAUCUCACACAUUCUUGUGACAGCUUGGAACACAGGUAGACACUGCCUGUGGGAAUUCACUGUGUCUCUGCUCAUCAUGACGACUUCGGGUUAAGGCCCAGUUCUGGCAUUGUACAGCUCCACUGGUGUCUGGGGGUAUUGGUGUCAAUAGAAUCUGUGCAGUGAACAAGGCCUUAAAGCUCACCAAAAUCCAGUCCCCAAUUUUAUAGUAAAGAGCAGGAAUCCAGAGAGCAGCAGACACACAUAUUAUGUGACUGGCGUCGCCAGCUGUUGAUUUGAUGGUUCAUGCAGGGCUUUAGGAGCGGAGCUGAGGCUGCAGCUCAGGCCUCUCUCCCCACUCCCAACACACAGUGGCCUCCUCCACCACAGUCACCCAGCGGUGAGUGUCCUCAUGUGGGACAGUCAUUUUAACUAGAGCUCUUAGCAUAGAGUGAUGACAGCAACUGUGAUCUUGGCUCAGUGCUUAGCCAGGUGUCUGGUGUUGCCUGGGCUGGGUGACAAACUGAGUCACAGUGGACCCUUGGCUUAUGAACUCCAUUCAUUCCUGAGGGCUGGUUGUAACACAAGUUGGUCAACUGAAGGUUCAGGCUCCUCUAAACAGCCUUCAAAGUCUCUCUCCUGUACAAAAAAAAAAAGACAAAAGUCAGGGCUGAGGAUUUAGCCCAGUGGCACUGCGCCUGCUUUGCAAGCAUAAGGUCCUGAGUUUGAUCCCCGGUACCAAAAAAAAAGUCUCUCUCCAAUAUACAGGCAGAUCUCAGUGUCCUUAAAGAGACACUGGCCCAGGAUUUUUCAACCCCACACAGGCAAGGCUGUUGUAAUGUUCAUUCCAGAACUCUUUAAGGGUUAAGUCUGUAUCUGAGACCAUCUGGAAACACACAAGCAGCCAGCAUUUGGGUCAUAACUCAAGACAUUGGUGUAAGUUAAAACUAAAAUUUCAAUCAUAACCCAAGUUGUUUGUAUGUCAGGCUGGUUGUAACUUGAGGGUCCACUGUAUU